rnacentral:rRNA from 1 species
UACGGGAGGCAGCAGUGGGGAAUAUUGCACAAUGGGCGAAAGCCUGAUGCAGCCAUGCCGCGUGUGUGAAGAGGGUCUUCGGGUGUAAAGUACUUUAAGUGGGAGGAAGGGGUAUAUGUUAAUACGUUAUCUCUGUGACGUUACCUACAGAAGAAGGACCGGCUAACUCCGUGCCAGC